ACUCUGCUGGCUGGCUUGAAGUGCCUUCACUUGAAUGGAUGCUUGGGUGGGAGCGAAGCAACAAGCAAUCGCCCUUUCAUUCAACUUUCUUGCUUCGAGUUCCGACUUUAGCGAUGUCAACAUAGACACGUCGGAACUCGGAACUAAGCGACCGUUUGUGUUUUGCCGUUACUCACCUGCUUACUCUCUACUGUCUCGCCGCCAACUUAGGCCUACACAGGCCAACACUGACUGACCUCCUGGGUGGCUGCACAAAUACCACUCAGGCUUUCAAGACCCUCAACCUCACCAGGACCUUCCUACAGAAAACAAAUCAACUGCACCGCAUAUAUUCUGAACGCCUCACCACCGCAUACUGCACCUUUGGGGCACUAGAGGCUGUGACACAGCCUGCACGGCCCCAACAAACCCUCAAGAAGAAGGAAGGAACUCGGAACUGACACCGACGAAAUUGUAUGAUUGAUUUCAGCAAAAAACAGAAAGACUGUCAGUCCCACAGAAAUGGCAGUGGCAGUGGACUCAGCCAGAUGGCUCAUGAGAGAUGCAUUGUUGAAACUCAAGAGAGUAGAAGAAGCACUGUCUUUGGUGGGUAUCUUUUACCUUGGGAAGAUCUCUGCAGCAGCAGCAUGGGAUCUCUUGAUUGGUGUGAGAACUCAUCUGUGGCCCAAGUUGUUCAAAAGAAAUCUAACAAAGGAGUAUGGGACAUGGGCAGUGAUCACCGGUGCUGAAGAUGGAAUGGGAAGAGGUUAUGGUGAUGUGCUAGCAGGAAUGGGCAUGAAUAUCCUCCUGGUAUCAGUAACAUAUGCAGAUUUGGAGGACUUCGCUCAUGAAAUCAGAAGUAAAUACAAUGUACAAGUGGAAGUUAUGGAUGUCAGCAUAUAUGCUGGUGAACUCAACUGUGAUGACAUUAGACGAAGGUUUGCUGGCAAGGAAAUUGGAAUUUUGGUCAAUAACAUAACAGGGAUGAAUUCUGACACAGCCAUAAUCUGUGGAGCAGCACGUACAGACCUAUGGCGACCAUUGGGUGUGGGUGUUGCUUAUGUGCCAGCCAUCACAAGCUUGGUGCUGCCAGCAAUGAUGGGAAGACACAAAGGUGCUGUGGUUAAUGUAUGCUCCCCCACGGCAAAUUUAAGUCUGUCAAGGUUUCAUGUCUACACAACAGCAAAGGCUUUCCUUACCAGUUAUUCUGAAGUUCUACGCCACUCACUCCAGCCCCAUGGCAUAGUAGUACAAACUGUGCUGCCUGCUGAGAUCCCUCAUAAAGUGACUCAUUAUACUGGGAUGUCAGUCCUCCAUGGUGCCUUCAAAUUUGUUACUCCCCAUCACUCUGUAUUUGCGGCACAUGCUCUUUCAACCUUAGGGUAUGCCCAUAUCACAUCUGGAUACUGGCUGUAUGGUGCUUUGGCCUGGAUAAUGGAGUGCUCACCCUGGUGGCUGGCAGCAAGCAUCAUUAUUACCAGAUUAUCUGUAUGAAAUUUACUUAUCAAUGAUAUGCAGCUAGAGACCACACCCUGAAGAGAGACAACAGUUUGACUGAGACAGCUGCACAGGAUCCUACUCCAAGAGAUCUAAACAAAGAAGAGGAAAACAACAGAAGACAACAGGAGUUCCCAAUGCCUGAACGAACUACUACUCCUCCAAAGAUUGCCACAUUGUGAAGACCUUAAGGCAUCAAAGACAGUAGUAUGCCUGUAGGUCUUCAGUUGCCUGCUGAAAGAGUUGAGGCAUUCCACCAGGGUUAGCAAACCCUGUGAUAGGUUUGUUUAUUAUUGCUGAGCUUAUUUAUUUAUUUAUUUUUUUUUUUUUUUUCUUCCAUGGGGUGAAAUGUGGUGUUUAUACAACUCAUUAAACUCGGUUAUUAUCUGCAUAUUGGUUCAGUGGUUUAGUUGUUGUUUCACUGUAUUUGUUCAAUAUUGUGUGUAAGCUUCAUGAAGCUUUAUGGAAGUUUUCUUCUUAGUGCUGGACCUACACUUGAGACAGGUAACUCUAGCUGCUCCACCUGUACAUAGCUUUGGUUUAUUACUAAGUAAAGCCUUGAAAAGAGGAAGAGUAUACUUUUUCCUUUAAUGUAUAUCACAUUAAUUACAUGGGACUGUUAGCUCUUAGCUAUUAGCUGGAGCUAAUUGUUACUACCAGCUUUCUUGAAAAACUUCUGUAUGUUGUAACAUUAAGGAUGGUAUGUUAAGGAGAGUCAAGGUGGAUAGGGUGCGCAUUGAAUGAGUCUGUAGGCUUAAGAAGAACUGUCAUACCAAGUAAUUAAAAUGAGAGGGGGAACUUUAUGAGAAGUGAUUUUGGAGUUCAGUGCAUGGUAGUAAUAUUAAUGUUAGCAUUAAGUGUACUACGUACAUGUAUAAGGCAGAAUACAGUAGGGAAGGAAAGUACAUAGUAAUGUGUGAAUUGGUACUUGGGGUAGUGGAUCUGAGUAGGGUUUGGGGAAGGACGCGACCUGGGAGUGAAGGAAUGGCACUCUCUCCUCGGAUCUUGGUGGGAUGUGGACGCAUGACAGCAAGCAAGGGUGAUGCUGGUGGAUAGAGGUGACCACUCCUCUCAGAUCAGGUGGGUAGUGUGUUUUUAUGGGAGAUUUGUGGAAGGUAUAUUCAUUGAGUGGAGGCUGUUAUAAUGUAGAGUUGAGUGGUGGAUUUAAGUGGGGAGAGAGUGUUAAGGGUGUUUCUCGUGUCUCUGUUGUUUGUUCAGUCCCGCUUCAAUUUCAUUGUCUUCAUUCUAAUGUAAUUUACUAUAGUUGAAAUAUAUGUAAAAUUGAUUUGGAA